rfam:Schistosoma margrebowiei strain Zambia genome assembly, scaffold: SMRZ_scaffold0001288
AGUCUUCUAUAUCCGUGCUGAGAUUUCAUCACACACUAGACCACAAGGGCUGAUGAGACUUCCAAGAUAAGUGAAGCG